AUUGAACGCUGGCGGCAAGCCUAACACAUGCAAGUCGAACGAGUGGCGGACGGGUGAGUAAUGGCUGGGAAACUGCCUGAUGGAGGGGGAUAACUACUGGAAACGGUAGCUAAUACCGCAUACCAUCGGAUGUGCCCAGAUGGGAUUAGAUGGUGGGUGGGGUAAAGGCUCACCUAGGCGACGAUCCCUAGCUGGUCUGAGAGGAUGACCAGCCACACGUGAACUGAGAGACGGUCCAGACUCCAAAGGGAGGCAGCAGUGGGGAGUAUUGCACAAUGGGCGCAAGCCUGAUGCAGCCAUGCCGCGUGUUUGAAGAAGGCCUUCGGGUUGUAAAGUACUUUCAGCGGGGAGGCGUUACCCGCAGAAGAAGCACCGGCGAACUCCGUGCCAGCAGCCGCGGUAAUAC
rnacentral:rRNA from 1 species